AUAAAGGAACUCGGCAAAAUAUUUUUCGCCUGUUUAAUAAAAACAUGUCUUUAUGAUAAUAAUUUAAAGUCUAAUCUGCCCCCUGAAAAAUUUUUAAAUGGCCGCAGUAUUUUGACUGUGCAAAGGUAGCAUAAUAAUUAGUUUUUUAAUUGAAAGCUGGAAUGAAUGAUUGGACGAGAGAAUAUCUGUCUCUAUAUAAUUUAUAUUGAAUUUUAUUUUUAAGUUAAAAAGCUUAAAUAAAUAUAAAAGACGAGAAGACCCUAUAGAUUUUAAUAUAUUUUAAGUUUUAUUAAUUAAGGUAUUUAUUUUUUUAAAGAUUAUUAUAUAUUUAGUUGGGGUGAUUGAAAAAAUUAAUAAACUUUUUUUUUAUUAAAACAUAGUUUUAUGAAUUUUUGAUUUAUUAUUAUAAUUAUAAGAUUAAAUUACCUUAGGGAUAACAGCGUAAUUUUUUUUAAGAGUUCAAAUCGAAAAAAAAGAUUGCGACCUCGAUGUUGGAUUAAAAUUAUUUCUGGUGUAGGAGCUAGAUUUAUUAAGUCUGUUCGACUUUUAAAAUUUUACAUGAUCUGAGUUUAAAUCGGCGUGAGCCAGGUUGGUUUCUAUCUUUAUAAUAAUGAAUAUACUUUAGUACGAAAGGACCAAGUGUA
rnacentral:rRNA from 1 species